CGCGACCCCCAGGUCAGGCGGGGCUACCCGCUGAGUUUAAGCAUAUCAAUAAGCGGAGGAAAAGAAACUA
rnacentral:rRNA from 1 species